rnacentral:misc_RNA from 1 species
ACAUUUUUCACCUCAUGUGUGAAGCUUCUCUGCCUCUUUUCUUGAUUUUAUUGCGAAAACUCCUUUUUCUGCUAAAUGCUUUCUCCACUGGCUCUUCAAUUUUUUCUGCAUGACGAAUGGCAGCAACUAGAUCACGGUUUGAUUCUGAAUAUAGACUCGUAACAAGGCCAGGUUGGCCUGCUCUAGCUGUACGUCCAACCCUGUGCAAGAAAUCUACAGCAGAUGUG